AACGAACGCUGGCGGCAUGCCUAACACAUGCAAGUCGAACGAACCCUUCGGGGUGAGUGGCGCACGGGUGCGUAACACGUGGGAACCUGCCCUUAGGUUCGGAAUAACAGUUAGAAAUGACUGCUAAUACCGGAUAAUGUCUUCGGACCAAAGAUUUAUCGCCUUUGGAUGGGCCCGCGUAGGAUUAGCUAGUUGGUGAGGUAAAGGCUCACCAAGGCGACGAUCCUUAGCUGGUCUUAGAGGAUGAGCAGCCACACUGGGACUGAGACACGGCCCAGACUCCUACGGGAGGCAGCAGUGGGGAAUAUUGGACAAUGGGCGAAAGCCUGAUCCAGCAAUGCCGCGUGAGUGAUGAAGGCCUUAGGGUUGUAAAGCUCUUUUACCUGGGAUGAUAAUGACAGUACCAGGAGAAUAAGCCCCGGCUAACUCCGUGCCAGCCGCCGCCGUAA
rnacentral:rRNA from 1 species